AAUUAAUCAAUCUUAGCCCAAAUUUCAGGCAUCAACUGAAACCCAAAAUACACAUUGAACAAAAUAAGUCUUUCUCUCCCCCUCUCUCUCUCUCCAGCGCACAGUCCCCCCUCUUCCAUGGCAGAUUUCUAUUCUGUCUCCAAGUUUAUUUGUGGCUAAAGAAUUGGUCUUUAUCAGCCUCGAACAUAUAGUAUCCGCCCUAUUUCGUGCAAUCUCGUCGCUCUAUAAUCAGGCUAGGUAUUUUGGUGUCUUACAACCCGUGAAUCUUCAAAAGUAAGACCAAAUAUUACAAUUUCGGGCAAGGCCUGAGGCGAAUCACGAGUUGUUUGACCAAAUCACAUGAGGGCUUGUCCGAAUCGCAACGUUCCGAUUCAAACGGGUAUUUUGACUAUAAUUCAAACCCUUGAUUUCAAAUUCCUGCUCAAAAUUUGUGACCCUAGUUCUUCUACUAUAAAUAUGUCCUGUUAGAACCCAUUUAGGAGGGGUUUUUUAGCCGCCUAGACUAGACAUAAGAAUUAGCCACCUCUUGAACACUACAUUAUCACUAUCACAUUUGAUAUAGUCUCAAAUAACUCAAGACUCUCUUACAAAACUUUUCUUUUCUGUCUCGGUGAACUUUAGCCGUGACAGAGAUUUUGGAACCAUUCCGAUCGAGGUUCGAAUCUUUUCCAUAAUGAGAGAGUAGAUUCGAGGCCAACAUCGUCCUAGUUCACUGCCCUACAACAGCCGAAAGUUUUACUUUUAAGACUGAACGACCGCGUAGCACCACAUGGAGUCAUCGUUAUUUGUGCUAUCCUAUUGUCGAAUCUCACGGCGGAAAACCAUAAAUUCAUCCUUAUGGGAUAUCGGUGGGGACUACCCAUUAUGCUACUUUAAUCUUUACUUUGCUAGUUUCUCCCUUGAUCUCUAUAUUGCGAAUCUGUUCUUUUUUGGGUAUAAGAUUGUAGUCCUUUUUUUUUUUUAAUUAAAAAACUUUCGAUUAGUCUCACUUAGGACUUAUAUUCAAGCUAAUAAUGGGAUUACUUGUUACAUGGAGAUAUGGCAACGGUUGAGGACUUUAAAAUCAA